AUACGUAGGGAGCGAGCGUUGUCCGGAAUUACUGGGCGUAAAGGGCGCGUAGGCCGUGUUAUAAGUUAGUUGUAAAACGUGUGGGCUUAACCCGCAUUCGCAACUAAAACUGUAACGCUAGAGGCAUAGAGAGGCAGACGGAAUUCCUGGUGUAGCGGUGAAAUGCGUUGAUAUCAGGAAGAACACCGGUGGCGAAGGCGGUCUGCUGGCUAUGAACUGACGCUGAAGCGCGAAAGCCAGGGGAGCAAACGGGAUUAGAUACCCCGGUAGUCCUGGCAGUAAACGAUGUAUGCUGGGUGUGGGCGUAGCGAUACGUCCGUGCCGAAGUUAACGCGAUAAGCAUACCGCCUGGGGAGUACGGUCGCAAGAUUGAAACUCAAAGGAAUUGGCGGGG
rnacentral:rRNA from 1 species